UCUUAGGAUUGUAAAAUUCUUUCACCGGGGACGAUAAUGACGGUACCCGGAGAAGAAGCCCCGGCUAACUUCGUGCCAGCAGCCGCGGUAAUACGAAGGGGGCUAGCGUUGCUCGGAAUUACUGGGCGUAAAGGGAGCGUAGGCGGACUGUUUAGUCAGAGGUGAAAGCCCAGGGCUCAACCUUGGAAUUGCCUUUGAUACUGGCAGUCUUGAGUACGGAAGAGGUAUGUGGAACUCCGAGUGUAGAGGUGAAAUUCGUAGAUAUUCGGAAGAACACCAGUGGCGAAGGCGACAUACUGGUCCGUUACUGACGCUGAGGCUCGAAAGCGUGGGGAGCAAACAGGAUUAGAUACCCUGGUAGUCCACGCUGUAAACGAUGAGUGCUAGUUGUCGGCAGGCAUGCCUGUCGGUGACGCAGCUAACGCAUUAAGCACUCCGCCUGGGG
rnacentral:rRNA from 1 species